GGAGCAAUGGGUGCGCCGAAAGGUUGGGGCGUGGCAAAAGGUAGGGGCGUGGCAAAAGGUUUCUCAUUGGUGGAAGGAGUUUUACUGCUGGCCAAUCAGCAGCUAAAUAUACAUUUACGUAAUGUCCUUAGACAAGGUGGCGGCGAUAAGACGUGAGACAUGUGUACAGUGAGACAAAACGAUGACCUCAUCGACAGCGAAUCCUUCACAGAUGAUUGUUUAUAUCUGCGUCCUUCUUGUACAAGAGAGUACAGAAUACAUCCUGUCUCCAACUAAUGCAGAGUAUAUUCAAGCUGCCAACACACUGAUGUGAAGAACCCUUUCCAGAGAAAUAUAGAAAGAAAUGACUGUGAAGCUUGUGUUGGAGAGGAUUCAGUGUCUGGUGAGGCUCAUGUGAAUGUGUUAUAAAGUGAGUAUCAGAAACACAUCCAGACACAUGGACUGCCAAAGACCACACGACAGGAACAUGCUCCUGGAGACGCUGAGAAAACACAGAAGGAAUCUCUGAGGAAACUACACAUACUUCAGGACACCUGCUGGAGUGAGUAUAUUAAAGAAACAAACUCAUCAACUGUAAAAUAUCUCGUAUCAAAUCUUUUCAGGUAAUAUUUUAUUAUUCUGUACCUUUUUAGCCCAUCUGUUAAACAUUUAAAGCAAUAGUUUUAGAAAACAAUGUAAGAUUUAUCCGUGUAUACAAGAAGAUGAAAUGCAUGGUAUAUUGUGACUCUUAUACAUUAGCUUCUGAUUGUU